AUUGAACGCUGGCGGCAGGCCUAACACAUGCAAGUCGAGCGGAUGAAGGGAGCUUGCUCCUGGAUUCAGCGGCGGACGGGUGAGUAAUGCCUAGGAAUCUGCCUGGUAGUGGGGGAUAACGUCCGGAAACGGGCGCUAAUACCGCAUACGUCCUGAGGGAGAAAGUGGGGGAUCUUCGGACCUCACGCUAUCAGAUGAGCCUAGGUCGGAUUAGCUAGUUGGUGGGGUAAAGGCCUACCAAGGCGACGAUCCGUAACUGGUCUGAGAGGAUGAUCAGUCACACUGGAACUGAGACACGGUCCAGACUCCUACGGGAGGCAGCAGUGGGGAAUAUUGGACAAUGGGCGAAAGCCUGAUCCAGCCAUGCCGCGUGUGUGAAGAAGGUCUUCGGAUUGUAAAGCACUUUAAGGUGGGAGGAAGGGCAGUAAGUUAAUACCUUGCUGUUUUGACGUUACCAACAGAAUAAGCACCGGCUAACUUCGU
rnacentral:rRNA from 1 species